CUUAAAAGUGGUGGGGGGGAUUUUAUUUUAAGUUUACCAAAAAAAAGUUUAUGGAGUUGUUAAGUUUUAGUUUAAAAAUAACCUGAAAAGCUUUUUCACCCCCUGGAAGUUGUUGAAAACAGUUUUAUCCAAUCCUAUCACAACUCUAAUUUCUGAAGAGAGAAAGCCCACUAAGCCGAAACUUGGAAUGGUUUCCAUCCAUAGGCCUCAGUAUUUAAAGUGCCAGCUACUCUAGUUUGCACCUUCUGUAAAGGCCCUAGGUGGCCCCAAGAGUGACACGAAAUAAUCUCUGUGAGCUUGGAAAGGGAUAGCACCACCUGCCUUUGAUAAAACAAUUUAGCAAACCCUGGAUUCCCUUAAGGGUUUCCCUUCCAAUCCCAGAAAUGCUGUUAACCAGUCAGCUGGGCGGGGGCAGGAUCUGGCAUGCUAGGCUGGCCCUGAACUCCCUCUUGAGAGACCAAGAGAGGAAAUGAUGGAAUUGGUUGACCCUGUUUCCACUCCUCUGUGUUAAUUCUCAGGUUCUCAUGCCUUCCCUAAGGGAGCCACCUAAACUGCUCGGGGGUGAAAAAUCCUCUUGUAUGAAGUGCCAAGCUGCCUGCAGCAGUGCAUGAUGGACAUUUUUUUUCUUUUUAAAACACACCAACAAAAAAAUGUAUUUGUAGAUUGUGAUAAAGUGUAAAUAACUGAAUUUUCAACCAUGGUUUGAAGUCAGCUUUCAGGGCAUUAUGUCUUGUUUUGAUGAAAAGAGAUCACUCUAUACCCCCCUUUUUAAAGGAAAAUUAUCGCAAGAGAAUCAGGAUGUGUAAAGCUAACAUGCAUCGCAAAAAACCAAAGGUAACCUAAAUGUCUGAUUUUAAUAGCACAUAUUUCUCUUUUACAUAAACUGUGACAGCAACUUGCAUAAACAAUUCUUUAGCUGUUAAUUUUAAUGUUAAAACUUUGCAAAACUUGUUUAAUAAAAAUAGCUGUAAAAAGAAAAACCAUAUGCUGCCGCAUAAAUUAGCCAUAACUCUUAAUAAUCCUGCCCAUCACAAGUGAACUGUAAUGUAACCUGGGCACAAAGUCUGACAUCUUAAAUGACACAUUGUAAAAUUUCAAUGACUGUAGUUUAGACCUGCUGCUCCCCAAAGUAAAGCUUUCUGCUCAGCUAUUUUAAAAUGUACAAAGAUGAGCCCCUCUAGGUCCCCCAUAUUGAUAUUCACAAUGAAAUGUUACUUAAAAUUUCUUUAAAGUUGCAUGUCUCUCUCCUGUAAUGUGUAAACUGCAUGCAGGAUCUCUAUCUUUUAUUUUGUAUGUCUUUAAAACUCCCUCUUCAAACGACUGAUCUCUUGCUUCUCCAUUUUCAGGUAAUUGAAAACUCCUGAGACAUUUUCUGGAGUAGAAUGGGUAGUGAAGACCCAUGUCAGCCAUCAGAGGACUCCGGAAACCAGGAGAGCUGCCUGCUGUGUCAAGGCUGGCCUGAGGGCAUUUGCUGAGCAAAGAGAAACCCAGGAACGGAGAUCAACAGUCUUUUCCCACCCCACCUCUUGAUCUGUCUGAUUUACCCACAGAAAGCCAGCCAGGAUCCCCUAGGAGAGUCACUAGGCCCAGAAUGGAGUCCUCAGGGCUGCAGGGGACUGUGAUGCUAACAGUUAAACCUGCUUAGGACUUCAAAGAAUUGACGGGGGACUAACGCUAUCCCCAGCAUGGCCUCCUAGAUCUGAAUAAACUGGCAGUCCUUCUGUCUCUUUCCCAGUUUGCCUGCUUCCCCUUAGCCUUGAGCAGAACAAGCUGGAAUACCCCUACCACCACCUCCUGUUUCCCACCUUGCCACACCUGUGUUGUGAGUGCCAACCUGGGAGCCCUUGGACACUUCCAGAGGGCUCCCACAGAGAGGCUGGUCACCACCUCUGUAAUAGGCUGAGGAAAGCCAAGUGAGAAGAUUCAUUUACUUCGGGCAAGUUAUUUAACCUCUGAGCCUGUUUUUCUCUUCAUUGUUGAUUACUAACCUUGUCCAAAAAGCUCUUGAAGGGUAGGGCUUUUCCUUCACUUCUACUGUAUCCCUUCCCCAACAAAUAUCUGGCACUGAGGAGCUCAAUAAAGGUUUUGUCAAGUGAUGAAUGGUCCAGCUCCGGUAGCUUCUAUCAGCUUUGGGAGAGAGCCAAAGGCCCCCUGUCCAGCUCUCACUUUCCUUCCAUCUGCACUGGGCUAGCUACUUAUCCUAACAUCUUCUCUUGGAGAAUGGGAAAGCCAGCCUUUGAUACACUUCUGGUUUCCUGUGGCCUAUGCCCUAGGCUGAUUUUACACUAAGCUUUCUGAGAGGUUAGGGACCUCGAAUAUUGCAUUCUUCCUUUAUUGUCUUCUGGUUAUUUAUCCUAACAAGGGAGCAGGGGGACAGGCUGAGUUUGGGGAAAGAGCCUGUCUGCAUUUUAACUGCCUGGGGCAUUUUAAGGAGCUUGAAUUCCUUCUUGGCAGGAAGGGGACAUUGAAAUCAGUUAAUUUACUUUGGACCAUUUAUUUAACUUCUGAGCCCAUUUUUAUCUUCAUUAUUAUUAUUUUUAAAUGGUAGCUGAUUCUGUUCACAGCUAUUUAUUUUUAUGCUCCUUUUUUUUUUUUUUUUUUUU
rnacentral:lncRNA from 1 species